rnacentral:rRNA from 1 species
GAGUACGGCCGCAAGGCUGAAACUUAAAGGAAUUGGCGGGGGAGCACUACAACGGGUGGAGCCUGCGGUUUAAUUGGACUCAACGCCGGAAAACUCACCGGGGGCGACAGCAAUAUGUAGGUCAGGUUAAAGGUCUUACCUGAAUCGCUGAGAGGAGGUGCAUGGCCGUCGUCAGUUCGUACUGUGAAGCAUCCUGUUAAGUCAGGUAACGAGCAAGACCCGUGCCCACUGUUACCAGCAUAUCCUUUAUGGAUGAUGGGGACUCUGUGGGGACCGCUGCUGCUAAAGCAGAGGAAGGUGCGGGCUACGGUAGGUCAGUAUGCCCCGAAUCUCCCGGGCUACACGCGGGCUACAAUGGUUGGGACAAUGGGUAUCUACUCCGAAAGGAGUUGGCAAUCUCUUAAACCCAAUCGUAGUUCGAAUUGAGGGCUGUAACUCGCCCUCAUGAAGCUGGAAUCCGUAGUAAUCGCGUUUCAACAUAGCGCGGUGAAUCUGUCCCUGCUCCUUGCACACACCGCCCGUCAAACCAUCCGAGUGAGGUAUGGGUGAGGGCACGAACUUAGUGUCGUGCUCGAACCUAAAUUUCGCAAGGAGGGUUAAGUCGUAACAAGGUAGCCGUAGGGGAAUCUGCGGCUGGAUCACCUCCU